AAAGAGGGAGUGAAGCACCCAUUAUCUCAACCACUAUCUAUGAGGGAUUUUGUGCAUAAAAAUGGUCAAAGGAACCAACGAGCAAAGGAUACACAAUCUGAAAAAUGUCGAGCAAAACAAGCGAAAAUCCAUGGUCACUGCCCAACCUGCAAAACAGAAAAUGAUAAAGGAUAUUGCACGACCUUUAAAGCAAUAACCAAAGGGAAAGACACAAGAAAAGGAGUACUGUACUCCGGGGUCUAUAUCUUCCUUUCGCUUAUUUCGGCAAAAGCAAUUAGAAAUGAUGCGACACACCACAGACACAGAAUCACCUAUUACCAAUGAAAUGACACAAGAAGCAAAUUGGAAAUUUAGAUUCCUUCCAUUAUAACAAGAAAUGAUGAAGUUGAACAUGAAUUGGAGCAACCACCAAUAAAUGAAGAAAUAGAAGUGGAAUCUCAACCAAAUGAAAGAACAGAGGAAGCUUGUAAGAGUCAAAAGCAACGAGGUCCAACAACGUUAACAAAGGUUCACUCGCGUACAAGAGAAGAGCGUGAAGCUAUUGUAUUGACUCAAUCGGCCAAUCAGUUAGACCAACAAAAGAAGUUGUUGAUGAGUUUAGCCUCUUCUUGGGUACAUUUUCUAGGGAUUCUGAGCUUGCGCCUCUUAACUACAGAAACUUCAAGCAUUUGCUCACACUUGACAAAAUAUGGGAUUAUGUUUUGGUAUGUUCCUUUCAUUGUUUCUUUUCUAUGUAUGCUCAUUCAUUGGACCAAUACCUGUAUAUACUACUAAUUGACCUCAUUCAUUAGACCGAAUACCUUAUAUAUACUACUAAUUAAUUGAGCUCAAAAUUCAUUCUUGGGUUAGGAAAAAUACACGGUUCCUGAUCAAGGGAAAAAAUGGGUUUUCGAAUCUAUCAAUGCAAGUUGGCGUUGUCAUAAAUGUAGGAUAAAGCAAAAUCACUACUAUGCACAUGAAACCGAUGAGAAAAGGUGAAAAAAUCGUCCAAAAACAGUUUCCGGUUCCCAAUUUAGAGAUCUUUUGGAAUACUGGAAUUGUUCACUAAUUGAGAUAGAAGCAAAAAUUAAUAAGGGCAAUCGUGGAUCACUAGAUGAUAUGCAUACUAUGGGUCCGAAGUCAUAUGCAAUGUUACGUCAUAAGUUGCAACAAGAGGAUCCGGAUAAGCAAGAGCCUUCACAAGAACCGGUCUACAAAGAAUCAAGGAAAAGAGAUCCUGAAAAGACAUACCUCACCAACAACGAGAAAUCUAUAUCCAAUAUUGCCAAGAUGGAUGCUUUACAGAGUGAAAAUGGAGAAGAUGGUAACGUUAAGGAUCAUUACUCUGAAGUCAUACAAGAUUCUGUACGCAAAAAUCGUGUACGCCUUUAUGGAAGAGGUGUAACGAAGACUGAUUUGAAAAAAAGGAUAAAAAUUCAGGUUUCAUAUUUCCACGGGAGUUUUUACUAAGUAUGGAGACUCAAUUGGUGCAAAAACUAGCACCAAGCGUGGCAUCUGUCAUUCUUUAUCAAAUUCAAGCCGCUAAUCCAGAAGUAGAUCUUAUGAUUCCUGAUUUUUCAAGUGGUACAAUACCAAGGGAUGCAUCUAGAGAUCAACAUCCAACUAGUGACUCAAAUGGGCAAGCUUCUAAUGGCCCGUAACUGUUAGAUCGUGAGGUGAAUGAUGAACCAACUGGAGGAGAUCAAACGUAGACGUCUCACUAUACAUACUAUCGGCCAGAUUUAGCUAGCUAUAUUAUAGUGAUGCGGUACUUGGUGGUUAGAAGGAAAAUGAUUUAUAUGUACUUAUUCGAAGUAUUUGUGGUACUAAAACAAAUUUUUAUUACUUAGGUUUGAUUAAGUACAUUAAUUUUCGUUAAUUAGGAUUUUUCAUGUAUACUCUUAAUUUAA